rnacentral:misc_RNA from 1 species
GAAAUGCGAUAAGUAAUGUGAAUUGCAGAAUUCAGUGAAUCAUCGAAUCUUUGAACGCACAUUGCGCCCCCUGGUAUUCCGGGGGCAUGCCUGUUUGAGCGUCAUUUCACCACUCAAGCCUCGCUUGGUAUUGGGCGACGCGGUCCGCCGCGCGCCUCAAAUCGACCGGCUGGGUCUUUCGUCCCCUCAGCGUUGUGGAAACUAUUCGCUAAAGGGUGCCGCGGGAGGCCACGCCGUAAAACAACCCCAUUUCUAAGGUUGACCUCGGAUCAGGUAGGGAUACCCGCUGAACUUAAGC